rnacentral:lncRNA from 1 species
UCUUCUACUGCAAAUACAUGAGUUGGUCUGUCCAAGCGCAUCACAGUGAUAUUGGGGACUUCAUUCCAAAGUUUUACCACAAUCAUUGAAGCAAGUGUAGCAAGAGCAUCUGCCAUCCGAUUCUCAUCUCGAGGAAUAUGAUGGAAGUCAACCUCAGUAAAGAACGUUGAAAUCCUCCUCGCAUAAUCUCUAUAUGGAAUGAG